GAAGCAGUGAUGGAGCACCUGGUGGGAAGGCAGGGCCAACCCAGGGGAGCUCAGGUGCAUGCAAUGUACCUGAGUGACUGGAGGGGUAGAGCCAGGAUUCACCCCUUCCCAGACCUCAUUUAAAGGUUGGCAGUGGAGGUGAGGGUAUCUCUUGCUGGAGAUUUCUGCCUACUUGAGGCCUUCCAAAGGUAAGUGGCUUUUUUCCUUCGUGUGUGCGGGUGCUGCAUUUGGGCUCAUUCUCAUUUGCUGUAGCCAAAGACUUUGCUAUCCCACUAUUAUUGCAAUACCUUCAAUACUGUUAUAGCAUUACAGUAGGAUUUAGAAAAUUAGUAUUAUGUUUAUCAUAGACACAGCCUCUUCCUUUCUCUGGUGAAUCAAAAAAGAAUCAGGGUGCUGAUGAUAAGGCUAAGAAGGAGAGUUAGCAUCAUUUCAAGAGGAGUGGAAACAAGCCUGAACCUGAUGUGUUCUUCAAAAUAAACCUUGGGGCUCUCAGAAGAGACCAUUCCUCUGGCAGUAUCUGAGCCUGACAGAGCAACAAGAGACAUUAGUUCUCAGCUGUGGACCUUGCUUCCUCUGCCUGGGCUACACUUCACACCAUUUGUACCCAACAGAUGAAAGUGUCAGCACUGGUCAUCGCGCUAUAGCUUUUUACAUACAUCUUCCAUUUUUACAGACAAGCCUGGAUGCAAAUAUUUGUAGUCUGGAGAAGUAGUUUGGCAACCUAAUUUAUAAGCGUUAAUGGAUAAUUGUUAGCAAUUAAAUGUUUGAUUACCCAACUGAGCCUAUGGAUCAGGUUGCUAGAUUUCCAUCUGCUAAUAGCUGUGUGCACAGGGGAUCAUGGGGCUGGAAACAGGAGCAAAGACGGGGUGUAAAGAUGCAAAUCUAACUCAGC
rnacentral:lncRNA from 1 species